GACGAACGCUGGCGGCGUGCUUAACACAUGCGAGUCGAACGGAAAGGCCCUGCUUGCAGGGUACUCGAGUGGCGAACGGGUGAGUAACACGUGGGUGAUCUGCCCUGCACUUCGGGAUAAGCCUGGGAAACUGGGUCUAAUACCGGAUAGGAGCCAUUUUUAGUGUGAUGGUUGGAAAGUUUUUUCGGUGUAGGAUGAGCUCGCGGCCUAUCAGCUUGUUGGUGGGGUAAUGGCCUACCAAGGCGGCGACGGGUAGCCGGCCUGAGAGGGUGGACGGCCACAUUGAGACUGAGAUACGGCCCAGACUCCUACGGGAGGCAGCAGUGGGGAAUAUUGCACAAUGGGCGCAAGCCUGAUGCAGCGACGCCGCGUGGGGGAUGACGGCCUUCGGGUUGUAAACUCCGUUCGCUAGGGACGAAGCUUUUUGUGACGGUACCUAGAUAAGAAGCACCGGCUAACUACGUG
rnacentral:rRNA from 1 species